GGUUGUGUAGUGUAGAGGUUAUCACUCCGGAUUUUGACUCGUACGACGGUUAGAACUUUCCGGCAACCGCGGUUCGAGUCCGCGCACGACCU